rnacentral:rRNA from 1 species
UACGUAGGGGGCAAGCGUUGUCCGGAAUCAUUGGGCGUAAAGAGCGCGUAGGCGGUCCGGUAAGUCCGCUCUGAAAGCCCGGGGCUCAACCCCGGGAGGGGGGCGGAUACUGUCGGGCUAGAGUCCGGAAGAGGCGAGUGGAAUUCCUGGUGUAGCGGUGAAAUGCGCAGAUAUCAGGAGGAACACCGAUGGCGAAGGCAGCUCGCUGGGACGGUACUGACGCUGAGGCGCGAAAGCGUGGGGAGCAAACAGG